UACGGGGGGAGCAAGCGUUGUUCGGAUUUACUGGGCGUAAAGGGCGCGUAGGCGGCCAGCACAAGUCAGUUGUGAAAUCUCCGGGCUUAACUCGGAAAGGUCAACUGAUACUGUGCGGCUAGAGUGCAGAAGGGGCAACUGGAAUUCUCGGUGUAGCGGUGAAAUGCGUAGAUAUCAGGAGGAACACCGAUGGCGAAGGCAGGUCUCUGGGCCACUACUGACGCUGAGAAGCGAAAGCGUGGGGAGCGAACAGG
rnacentral:rRNA from 1 species